AUUUUCCGGUUGAUCCUGCCGGACCCCACUGCUAUCGGGAUAGGACUAAGACAUGCUAGUCGCGUGCUUCAGCCAAAACGAGGCACGGCAAACAGCUCAGUAACACGUGGCUAAUCUGCCCUUAGGACGCGAACAACCCCGGGAAACUGGGGCCAAUUCUCGAUAGGUGAAGAACUCUGGAAUGAGUCUUUGCCUAAAAGAGCUUACGUUAUGCUCGUAAGUUUCGCCUAAGGAUGAGGCCGCGACCGAUCAGGUUGUUGGUGAGGUAAUGGCUCACCAAGCCUUUUACCGGUGCGGGCCGUGAGAGCGGGAGCCCGGAGAUGGGCACUGAGACAAGGGCCCAGGCCCUACGGGGCGCAGCAGUCGCGAAAACUUUGCAAUACACGAAAGUGUGACAGGGCUAUCCCGAGUGCCAUCCGCUGAGGAAGGCUUUUACCCAGUCUAGAACGCUGGGGGAAUAAGGAGAGGGCAAGUCUGGUGUCAGCCGCCGCGGUAAUACCAGCUCUCCGAGUGGUGUGGAUGUUUAUUGGGCCUAAAGCAUCCGUAGCCGGCUAGGUAAGUCCCUUGUUAAAUCCACCGAAUUAAUCGUUGGAUCGCGGGGGAUACUGCUUGGCUAGGGGACGAGAGAGGCAGACGGUAUUUUUGGGGUAGGGGUGAAAUCCUAUAAUCCCAGGAAGACCACCAGUGGCGAAGGCUGUCUGCUAGAACGCGCCCGACGGUGAGGGAUGAAAGCUGGGGGAGCGAACCGGAUUAGAUACCCGGGUAGUCCCAGCUGUAAACGAGGGGAGACUAGGUGUUUGGACGGCCACGUGCCGUUCUAGUGCCGCAGGGAAGCUGUUAAGUCUGCCGCCUGGGGAGUACGAUCGCAAGAUUGAAACUUAAAGGAAUUGGCGGGGGAGCACCCCAAGGGGUGAAGCUUGCGGUUUAAUUGGAUUCAACGCCGGAAAU
rnacentral:rRNA from 1 species